GGGGCUCUGUUUUUUCUUUUAAGUUUAUAUUAAAGAUUUACCAGAUGACCUCAUAAUCCAGUUUAGACAAGGUAAACAUUGUUUUCCCGCUCUAUAUGAUAUCACUAUGCUGACUGCAAGGUGCAAAGGACGCAAUCUAUAGCAAAGAUUGACACGGAGUCAGGAUGGAGGCACCCAAUUGCAGAAUAUAGAGGUGGGAAGUUCAACAUUUUUAUAAAUUAAUAGGCUUAUGUAAACAUAAUAAUAAAAAUCCAGGGAAGUUAAUUACUGACCAUAAUUUGAACAUACUGCCAUGAUAUUGGCUCUUUAAAAUAAGAAGCAAAGGAAAAAAAGCUUAACUCGUUUACAUACAAUAACGAAUAAUUACUUUAUUUAUCCACCAUUAUCAAAUCUUGAAGAAGAAAUGUUUGGAUGCAUGGACCCUAACCAUUUAUUAAUUAAAUACACUUAUUGGAAGUAAAUAAGAAAGAAGUAUUUCUCUAACUCAACCAACUUUUUUAAAAAAAAAUCUAACUUUUUUUGUCUAAAAUUAUAACAGAAAAAAAAGUUUGAGCCACUGCUUUAUUUUAUUUUUUUUUAGCUUUCUUUUUUCUUUUUCUUUUUAUUAGCCAACCUUAAUGCUAGACUGCUUCCUAUGUUUUUCUGUCCUGGAACACAUGCAGUAAUCUCAAGAGGGCAUAGCUACAUGUUACUCUUUCGCGCUCUCAAUGCCACUUUCUCUGUCCAUGUAUGUAGAAACGCAUUUCUUCGUAAAUACCGUGUCCCUUGUUCUCUCUUUUUUUUUUUUUUUUUUUGUUUUUUUCUGUUGUGUAUUUUUUUUUCCUUUGCCGGAGAAAAAAAAUUUGAAUAAAAUGCUGCAGGAUUUUUUUUCUCUCUACAUUGUCACUAAGUGAAGUUUGUGCCUUGUAUAGCAAAGAAAAUAUUUUUUACAUCCUACUAACAGUAAAAU